UACGAAGGGGGCUAGCGUUGCUCGGAAUCACUGGGCGUAAAGGGUGCGUAGGCGGGUCUUUAAGUCAGGGGCGAAAUCCUGGAGCUCAACUCCAGAACUGCCUUUGAUACUGAAGAUCUUGAGUUCGGGAGAGGUGAGUGGAACUGCGAGUGUAGAGGUGAAAUUCGUAGAUAUUCGCAAGAACACCAGUGGCGAAGGCGGCUCACUGGCCCGAUACUGACGCUGAGGCACGAAAGCGUGGG
rnacentral:rRNA from 1 species